AGAAAGAAAGGGCAGACGGUGGAUGCCUUGGCUCUUGGAGGCGAUGAAGGACGUGAUAAGCUGCGAUAAGCUCGGGCGAGGUGCAAAUAACCAUUUGAACCCGAGAUUUCCGAAUGGGGCAACCUAAUAGAUUGAAGGUCUAUUACCGCUUUAAGCGGGGCAAACGUGGGGAACUGAAACAUCUAAGUACCCACAGGAAAAGAAAAUAAAUAAUGAUUGCGCAAGUAGUGGCGAGCGAACGCGCAGCAGCCCAAACCGGCGUUGUUUAGGCAAUACCGGGGUUGUAGGACCACGAUGUAGCAAGAAAUCGGGAAAGUGGAAUCAGCUGGAAAGUUGAAUCAUAGAGGGUGAAAAUCCCGUACACGACUUUUCGAUGAAGCUUAGUGGUAUCCUGAGUAGUGCGGGACACGAGAAAUCCUGUACGAAACCGCGGGGACCAUCCCGCAAGGCUAAAUACAUCCAAGAGACCGAUAGUGAACCAGUACCGUGAGGGAAAGGUGAAAAGCACCUCGAAUAGAGGAGUGAAAUAGACCCUGAACCCGUCUGCCUACAAGCGGUCGGAGCGGAUUUAUCCGUGACGGCGUGCCUUUUGCAUAAUGAACCUACGAGUUACCAUCACCGGCAAGGUUAAGUGAUAUGAGUCACGGAGCCGAAGCGAAAGCGAGUCUGAACAGGGCGAGGUUCCAUUUUCCGUAAGGAAAAUGAAAGCGCACUAUGUGCGUGAUAGUCGGUGGGGGUAGACGCGAAACCAAGUGAUCUACCCAUGGUCAGAUUGAAGGUUGGGUAACACCAACUGAAGGAUCGAACCGAUAAGCGUUGAAAAGCUUCCGGAUGAACUGUGGGUAGGGGUGAAAGGCUAAUCAAACUUGGAGAUAGCUCGUACUCCCCGAAAUGCAUUUAGGUGCAGCGUUGUAAAUUUUUUAUGUCAGGUAGAGCGACUGAUUGGAUGCGAGGGCUUCACCGCCUAUCAAGUCCAGACAAACUCCGAAUGGGCAUAAAACUAAUUGCAGCAGUGAGGGCGCGGGUGCUAAGGUCCGUGUCCGAAAGGAGAAGAAUCCAGACUAUCAGCUAAGGUCCCCAAAUAUAUGCUAAGUUGAACUAACGAAGUCAGAGUACAAAGACAGCUAGGAUGUUGGCUUGGAAGCAGCCAUUCAUUUAAAGAGUGCGUAACAGCUCACUAGUCGAGUGCUCCGGCAUGGAUAAUAAUCGGGCAUAAGCAUAUUACCGAAGCUAUAGAAUUGUUCAGUAAUGAAUAAUUGGUAGGGGAGCAUUCUAUUACAGCGUUGAAGAUACGUGGCGAUGCGUGUUGGAGCGGAUAGAAAAGCAAAUGUAGGUAUGAGUAACGAUAAUGCGGGCGAGAAACCCGCACGCCGAAAGACCAAGGUUUCCUGAUCAACGUUAAUCGAAUCAGGGUCAGUCGGGACCUAAGGAUAAGCCGAAAGGCGAAGCCGAUGGAAGAACCGGUUAAUAUUCCGGUACUACUGUGUAGAGAGAAGUGGGGACGGAGCAGUGAAACUUCCGCGAACUGACGGAAUAGUUCGUUAAAGGGUGUAGAUGUUGAGGUUUGCAGGCAAAUCCGCAGACUAAGUCGAACCUGAUAGUAUGGAGCGUGCUUGCACAAUCCAAUAGCGAAGGUAAACAGACUCCCAAGAAAAUCCGCUAUCGUUAAUCUACAUAGUACCCGUACCCUAAACCGACACAGGUGGUUGAGUAGAAAAUACUAAGGCGCUCGAGUGAUUCAUGGUUAAGGAAUUAGGCAAAAUGACCCCGUAACUUCGGGAGAAGGGGUGCCUGUCAGCGAUGGCAGGCCGCAGAGAAUAGGAGAAGGCGACUGUUUAACAAAAACACAAGGCUGUGCAAAAUUGCAAGAUGAAGUAUACAGCCUGACACCUGCCCGGUGCUGGAAGGUUAAGAGGAGAGCUUAGCAGCAAUGCGAAGGUUUGAAUUGAAGCCCCAGUAAACGGCGGCCGUAACUAUAACGGUCCUAAGGUAGCGAAAUUCCUUGUCGGGUAAGUUCCGACCUGCACGAAUGGUGUAACGAUCUUCUCACUGUCUCAACCAUGAGCUCGGUGAAAUUGUAGUAUCGGUGAAGAUGCCGAUUACCCGCAAUGGGACGAAAAGACCCCGUGAACCUUUACUAUAGCUUUACAUUGGACUUGGGCAAUUGAUGUGUAGGAUAGGCUGGAGGCUAUGAAGCGGGCACGCUAGUGUUUGUGGAGCCGCCGUUGAAAUACAGCCCUUUGAUUGUUUGAGUCCUAACUCGCGGAUGCGAGGACAUUGUAUGGUGGGUAGUUUGACUGGGGUGGUCGCCUCCAAAAAAGUAACGGAGGCUUCUAAAGGUGCGCUCAGGCCGAUUGGUAACCGGUCGCAGAGUGUAAUGGUAUAAGCGCGCUUGACUGAGAGACAGACAAGUCGAACAGGUAGGAAACUAGAGCAUAGUGAUCCGGUGGUUCCGCAUGGAAGGGCCAUCGCUCAAAGGAUAAAAGGUACUCCGGGGAUAACAGGCUGAUCAUUCCCAAGAGCUCAAAUCGACGGAAUGGUUUGGCACCUCGAUGUCGGCUCGUCACAUCCUGGGGCUGGAGAAGGUCCCAAGGGUUGGGCUGUUCGCCCAUUAAAGUGGCACGCGAGCUGGGUUCAGAACGUCGUGAGACAGUUCGGUCUCUAUCUAUUGUGGGCGCAGGAUAUUUGAGGGGAACUGACACUAGUACGAGAGGACCGUGUUGGACUGACCUCUGGUGAACCGGUUGUCGCGCCAGCGGCAUAGCCGGGUAGCUAAGUCGGGAUUAGGAUAAGUGCUGAAAGCAUCUAAGUACGAAGCCGUCCCCAAGAUUAGAUAUCUGAUAAGGGUCGUGGAAGACUACCACGUCGAUAGGCUGCAGGUGUAAAGGCGGUAACGUCAUAGCCGAGCAGUACUAAUUACCCGGAUACUUAU
rnacentral:rRNA from 1 species